UAGUCCACGCCGUAAACGAUGAGCACUAGGUGUCGGGGUCGCAAGACUUCGGUGCCGCAGUUAACGCAUUAAGUGCUCCGCCUGGGGAGUACGCACGCAAGUGUGAAACUCAAAGGAAUUGACGGGGACCCGCACAAGCAGCGGAGCAUGUGGUUUAAUUCGAAGCAACGCGAAGAACCUUACCAGGACUUGACAUCCUUCUGACCACUCCUUAAUCGGAGUUUUCCUUCGGGACAGAAGAGAC
rnacentral:rRNA from 1 species